UUAAAGGCAGUGCCUCUGUGAGCAAUUGCUGACCUUCAUUUGUUUUUGACUCAACCUGGCUGCUCUUUAACACUCACUUUAAUUUGAAAUCCUUGCACACACAAAGGUCCUUGUUGGAUACCGUGGGAAAUGGGGAGUGCAGAAUCAAGAUCAAACACACAUGUGGCCAAUGCAACAAAUAAGUACUUGAGAAUUUAUUAUGAGACCUCAAAGAUGAUGCUUGAGGAGCUUGUGGUCAACGUAGAUGCAGGGUUAGAUUUUUCCGACUCGAGUGUCUCAGGAAAGGCGAACACCAGCACCAAAAUGGUUUUUAAACCUGACUCGCGAGUGCGCUACGUCCGCCUUCCUCCUAGAGAAUUCACUAACUUCGCAGGGGAAGGGGAGCUGUUUGCCAGCGUCCUUGUGGAAGAUGUAGGUGACCCAAAGGUCUUCCUCAAGUGCAUCUGCCUGAACUUCCAUGUUCCCUGUGACCGAUCCUUCAUUGUGACGGGCAGUGAAAACAUCAAGCUCCAGAAGUACGGUGCAAACGUCUGGGUUGAUGACGAUGGAACAAACCAUUCUGGAUAAUAAUUAUAACAAUAAUGAAACUUAAAUAAUUGUACGUUUCAUUUGAUUACAUUUCCAUGUCAUCGUUCAAUAAUGUCUUCUAAAACUGAGAUUGUGUGCUGUGGGAUUGGACAACAGCCACUGUUUAAAUGUGCUUUAUAAAUAAAAAUUGAUUUGACUAAUU